UGUAGGGUUUAGGAGGAGGGGUCGAGGGUGUAGAAGAUAAGGUCACCGAAUUAAGGUGAUACCGAGGGAGGCAAGGGAGUCGUCGGGAGAGGCGGAGAGAAGAGGGAGCGUCGGAGAUGGAUUCGGAGAGGGAUUGUUUGAGGUGGUGGAGAGAACACAGAUUCGGGACCUCGAUUCAGAGAGUCUGUUUGGACUCAAUAGCAGAGCUUGAAUUUACGAAUUGGAAUAUAGAGCAUGAAUAAUUCAAAAGCAAGUGAUUUAAUUACUGGGCUUGGAGAUAAAGAUGGACGACGAAGUCCGCUUGGUUCCCUUCUAUUCCAUCAAUUCAAGCCAUACAUUUAACAUUGAGGUACUCUGAGUUUGCAUAAUUUUUUUUUUUGAUUAAGAUAGAAGCACCCAGCUUCUGUCCUUUGUUGUUUGACUUGAAUUGAACACAAACUCGUAGCAAUUUGACAAUCAUACUCAGUUAUAUAUAUUUUGGUCAUUCUUCAAAGCACCUGGAUAGAGGCUUAUGUUCUUUAUCAUUUAGUUAUCAUAUAAAGCAAAGCUGGAGCAUCCUUUUGACAUGUCUAACAAUCAUGCUUUUAAUUAUAGCACUGAAUCUGUUUUUUAUAUGACAGGUCUUGAUUAUAUCUCCACCGCCAAGCUUUCUCACAAUUGAACACAUGAACUUGCUCCCCAUUGACUUGAUUUUGAAGGAUACUUGACCACAACAAUAAUUUGGUGUUCGUGUCCUCCGAGUUUCCCUGUGUUUGGGUAGCAGAGUGGAGAUAAGGCAAUGGUUUUAUGCUUUGUGGAGUUUGUGGAUCCAAAGUGUGCUUUCACAGCUAUGGAAGCUCUACAAGGGACUCUUGUUUUGGCUCUAAUUGGUGGUCAUUUAAAACUUUGUUGGUUUUUGCUGUAACGGUUCUGUGCUACUUUGCUAUUCUAUCUAUUUGAUUUGCUUUGCUGGAGAUUAUAUCUAGUACAAUAGGAUCAUUGUAAACAGGUAUGUCCAGAACUACAAGGAAAAGGUGAAGUUGGAGCAUAGGUUCUGAAGUGCACAGUUGGGAAAGGAGGAUGAGAGGCAGAGCUUUUAGCAACAUUUUUUUGGAGAUUUGCAGGGGAGCAACAAUGGUUGAUCAGAUUGUGACUAUCUAUUGAAUGACCAAAUAAUGAGAUGCCAGUAAGUUUACUUGAAAGUUGUCUGCAAUUUGUUGUUUCCUUUGGCCAAAACUUGCAGUUUAUUAUUGCAAUUUAUGCAGGAAGUAAAAAUGAUGAAAAGUUCUGUUUGUGCUGCAUUUGCUGAAAGAGUUUCAUCAAAUGCUGAGAGUUGGAUUUGAAUCUUGAGUACAAGCCAGAUGUCAGGGAAGACUUAGAGGCUGUGGGGAAGAAACUUGAAGAAUGCACCGGACAAUCAUGUGGAAGAUGGAGCAGUGA